GUUCCGCGGAGGGACGAGGCACAGCCGCGGAACCGCCGCCAGAUUCGCUCUCUGUCCACGCCGCCUGUCGCGCUGGCCGUCGCGCCGCCCGCCCGCCCACCAGCCCCGCAUCCGCCGCCGCCGCCGCCGCCACCGCCAUGGGAGUGCAGGUGGAGACCAUCUCCCCCGGAGACGGGCGCACCUUCCCGAAGCGCGGCCAGACCUGCGUGGUACACUACACUGGGAUGCUUGAAGAUGGAAAGAAAUUCGAUUCCUCCCGGGACAGAAACAAGCCCUUUAAGUUUGUGCUGGGUAAGCAGGAGGUGAUCCGAGGCUGGGAAGAAGGGGUUGCCCAGAUGAGCGUGGGUCAGAGAGCCAAGCUAUCUCCCCAGACUAUGCCUAUGGCGCCACUGGGCACCCAGGCAUCAUCCCACCAAAUGCCACUCUCGUCUUUGAUGUGGCGCUUCUAAAACUGGAAUGACAGGAAUGGCCUCCUCCCUGAUUUCCCCAUUCUUGGAUGUGCCAUGGAAGGAUCCGGCGCCUCCAGAUGCGCACAGCGAGUCCGUAGGGAGCUUUUCCUGAUGUUCCACUACACUCUUCGUAUAAACAUCUUCCCUGACUGAAUGUGUUCUGUCACCGGCUUUGCUCUUCCGCUUUCUCCUCGUGUGUGUGUUGACCUGAACUAUAUGCCAUAAACCUCAAGUUACCCAUUUUAGUUUGUUUUCGUUUUGGGGUGAAGAUUGAGUUUCAGUCCUUUGGAUCUAGGUUUCCAGUUAAGUACUAGUCAAGUAUUAACAGCACAAAUAAUGGGUUAACUUUAGAAUAGGAAUUGGUGUUGGGGGGAGUGCAAGAAUCUUUAUUUUAUUUUAUUUUUGGAUGAACGUUUUAUCUAUUAUAUAUUAAACAUUCUUGCUGCUGCGCUGCAAAGCCAUAGCAGAUUUGAGGCGCUUUUGAGGGCCGAAUUAUUCUCCAAGUUGAGAGAUGUCCUCGGGUUGAAUUAAAAGCCCUACCCAAAACUAAAGUGGGAAGGGGAGAGCCUUUGCCUCCACUG